rnacentral:rRNA from 1 species
UACAGAGGUCCCAAGCGUUGUUCGGAUUCAUUGGGCGUAAAGGGUGCGUAGGCGGCGCGGUAAGUCGGGUGUGAAAUCUCGGAGCUUAACUCCGAAACUGCAUUCGAUACUGCCGUGCUUGAGGACUGGAGAGGAGACUGGAAUUUACGGUGUAGCGGUGAAAUGCGUAGAUAUCAGGAGGAACACCAAUUGCGAAGGCAGCUCGCUGGGACGUUACUGACGCUGAGACGCGAAAGCGUGGGGAGCAAACAGG